rnacentral:sRNA from 2 species
UUGCUAUCUGCGAUAUGGAAGAUUCGAACCUGCCGCAGGUCCGGGUCUCACGCAGUGAGACAACGGAGCCGCUUGCGGCGACGGCCCGAAGGGCGAGCAAAGCGAGUCAUCCUGCACGACCCACCA